AGCUUAAGGGGCGCGCGACGGCGUUCGGUAGCUUUUGAGCUCGGAACUGGACUGCCAGGGGGUCGCGUGAGGGGGGGGAACCUCUCGUCUGCACCCUGCUGCGUUGCAUACACGGGUGGGUCACCCCACAGCCACAAGGCUCCGCGGGGCAGAGGCUUCCUUCCCCACCGCCUUGAACUCCUCCGCGUCGAAAGCCGUGCACCGCCACCAACCCCCUCAUCUGCUUCUCCCUUCAAGGCGUUUCUGUCGCCGCAGACGGACAAGAGAACUACGUCUAUGGGUGGCGGGGGCAGCGGCCGUGCUCUGAACCCCUCCAUGGCAGGCUCAGGUUGUAUAUAAGUGUAAAUAAACCAUAUUAUCUUAAAGAAACCAUAGUCUCCGCUAUGCCUCAUUUCCAAAGGAAACACGAAUCCUGGGUAAGUGCCUGGACCCCUGGAAUCUAGCACUGUUGUGGAGGUUGUGGUGGCUUGUAACAAUACUCUUCAUAGACUUCCUUUAAAUAAAGCAAUAAGUUUGAAGGUUGGGGGAGCAAUCUUUCACUCAUUUUUUUUGCUUUUGAACCAGGAGGUGGGGCUGUGCACAACAGAAUAAUAAUAUUGAAAUAGCAAAUGUGGGACACAGAACAGUCUCUACAUAUUCAUUUCCUUUGUCUUGUAUUUAUUAUUUUAUUAUCUUUGAAGGAAAAAGCACAAACUUCUCAGGGUCCCAAGGUAUAGUAUGAGGUCACAUGAGGCCACCGUCUUUCUAAAGCAGAUGAGGUCUGGAUCUGGGUCAGUGCUAGGGUGGGGUCCCACUUCUUUUGUUUCUUGGUUUAUCUGGGAAAACCUCUUUUGUGUUUGUAGAAACUUUCAACCAUCACCAUUUUACUGGAGUUGAAGAGAUCAUUACAAGAUGAAAAGUCUGACAGUGUGUUGACACUGCAACAAAAAGUCACGUGCAAAUAUAACCAGCCCUGGGAACAUGAAAGUUAUUAUUUUUUAAAAAAUCAAUUUUUUACUAAAAUUUGGCACAUAAUUAAAUUAAUUAAAGUAAUUACAUUUCCUUUUAGUAUUCUUCCUAAUUAUUUAAGCUUACCUUACUCUAGAA